ACAAUAACUAUGUCCUUCUUUCUCUCUCCAAACACUCUCACUAGCCUAGCAUAUAAAGAGAUCCUAAGAAAUGUUUACACUAACUUUUAAAAUCCUCAUUUAUAAAAAUUUUAAAAAGGAUGAAGGUGAGGUUCAAGUUGGUUGUGUUUUUAAAUCAGUCUCAUAUAUAGGACUUGGUUACAUAUACCUGAUAUUUUUCAGAGCUUAUAUAAAACAGUGCUAUGAAACCUCUACAUCACAGCUUCUAUAUAUGAAGUAGGUAAAUUGGAUGAAAAUGAUUUCUGAAGUAACCCUAACACCUGCGGCUCUUGGUUUGUGACUUGUGGCAUAGGUCGUCAGAUGAGCAAAUCAGACCUGCUGAAUUUUGAUCUGGCUCCAUUCUCACAUACCGAGAAGCACUUGUUAGUAAAUAUUGCCAGUUCAGAGAAUACAGGAAAUCGUAGUAAGGACCUAUUCAUAAGCAUUCGUGUGUAUAUUUGUACAUAUGACUAAGACUAGAAAAUUUUGGGGGG
rnacentral:lncRNA from 1 species